rnacentral:misc_RNA from 1 species
GGAACGUUGGAAAGUAAGGAUGAAAAUGAUGGUCCUGCAGAAGCAGGAGCAUAUCUUGCCUCUGGAAAUUUUGAUGGAAGGUUAGGUGGUAAAUCAUUGAACUUGAGCACUUCCAAGGCUUCUCCUGCCGAAGGACGAUGAGAAAAGCCAGGAUGUGCGCACCACAGUCCCACCAUCAUUAAACGCGUCAUUUGAUUCUCAUCAAAAUUUCCGCAUAAUCUUCGGUCAGCUGCAUCAAGAAGGUCGCCUCUUUCACAGUGAUCCCACACCCACUUCACUAAGCGUACAUGGUUUCCAUCGUCCAUUUGCACGAAUGCUCUUCUUCCACAUGCAAUCUCCAAGGCAACGACACCAAAACUGUAGACGUCAGACAUUUUGCUCGACUUUCCUGUUUGGUGACAUUCAGGAGCCUCGUAUCCAUUAGUCCAACCUUCGAGUGUUUGAGACUUGGCAUCAUGAUUCACAAGGCGAGCUAACCCGAAAUCUGCAAGCUUCGCAUUGAAAUUUGAAUCUAGCAACACAUUACUGGAUUUUAUGUCCCGAUGUAGCACACAUCGUUCACAUCCUUGGUGCAUGUAAUGCAAAGCAGAGGCCAAGCCUAAUGCAAUUUUAUACCUUUCCACCCAUUUCAGCAACGUUGUUCCUUUAAAAAGAUGGUAAUCUAGACUCAGAUUUGGCAUGUACUCGAAAACGAGUAGAAGUUGU